rnacentral:rRNA from 1 species
AACGAACGCUGGCGGCAUGCCUAACACAUGCAAGUCGAACGAGACCUUCGGGCCUAGUGGCGCACGGGUGCGUAACGCGUGGGAACCUGCCCUUAGGUUCGGAAUAACUCCCCGAAAGGGGUGCUAAUACCGGAUAAUGUCCUCGGACCAAAGAUUUAUCGCCUUUGGAUGGGCCCGCGUUGGAUUAGCUAGUUGGUAGGGUAAAAGCCUACCAAGGCGACGAUCCAUAGCUGGUCUGAGAGGAUGAUCAGCCACACUGGGACUGAGACACGGCCCAGACUCCUACGGGAGGCAGCAGUGGGGAAUAUUGGACAAUGGGCGAAAGCCUGAUCCAGCAAUGCCGCGUGAGUGAUGAAGGCCUUAGGGUUGUAAAGCUCUUUUACCCGGGAUGAUAAUGACAGUACCGGGAGAAUAAGCUCCGGCUAACUCCGUG